rnacentral:rRNA from 1 species
UACAGAGGUCUCAAGCGUUGUUCGGAUUCAUUGGGCGUAAAGGGUGUGUAGGUGGCGCGCUAAGUCGGGUGUGAAAUUUCGGAGCUUAACUCCGAAACUGCAUUCGAUACUGGCGUGCUUGAGAACUGGAGAGGAGACUGGAAUUUACGGUGUAGCAGUGAAAUGCGUAGAUAUCGUAAGGAAGACCAGUGGCGAAGGCGGGUCUCUGGACAGUUCCUGACACUGAGACACGAAGGCCAGGGGAGCAAACGGG